rnacentral:rRNA from 1 species
GCCAGUAUAAAGCCAUGCAUGUCUAAGUAUAAACACCUCGUUUUCUUUUUUGUACUCGUGAAACUGSGRAUGGCUCAUUAAACCAGUUAUAGUUUCUUUGAACGUGCCUUAYUACUUGGAUAACCGUAGUAAUUCUAGAGCUAAUACAUGCCUACACGCCCGACUCACGAAGGGUGGUAUUUAUUAGAUAAAAAACCUUCGCACAGUGACCUGUGUGUUAGAUGAUUCAUAAUAACUCUCGGAUCGCAUGGCCUARARCCGGCGACGGUUCAUUCAAAUUUCUGCCCUAUCAACUUUCGAUGGUAGARUARUGGUCUACCAUGGUGUCAACGGGUAACGGGGAAUUAGGGUUCGAUUCCGGAGAGGGAGCCUGAGAAACGGCUACCACAUCCAAGGAAGGCAGCAGGCGCGCAAAUUACCCAAUCCCAACACGGGGAGUAGUGACAA